GAUGAACGCUGGCGGCGUGCCUAAUACAUGCAAGUCGAGCGAACGGACGAGAAGCUUGCUUCUCUGAUGUUAGCGGCGGACGGGUGAGUAACACGUGGAUAACCUACCUAUAAGACUGGGAUAACUUCGGGAAACCGGAGCUAAUACCGGAUAAUAUUAUGAACCGCAUGGUUCAAAAGUGAAAGACGGUCUUGCUGUCACUUAUAGAUGGAUCCGCGCUGCAUUAGCUAGUUGGUAAGGUAACGGCUUACCAAGGCAACGAUGCAUAGCCGACCUGAGAGGGUGAUCGGCCACACUGGAACUGAGACACGGGCCAGACUCCUACGGGAGGCAGCAGUAGGGAAUCUUCCGCAAUGGGCGAAAGCCUGACGGAGCAACGCCGCGGGAGUGAUGAAGGUCUUCGGAUCGUAAAACUCUGUUAUUAGGGAAGAACAUAUGUGUAAGUAACGGUGCACAUCUUGACGGUACCUAAUCAGAAAGCCACGGCUAACUACGU
rnacentral:rRNA from 1 species